AUAGUCCCCGCCUUUUCGAGGGAGAGCCCCAGUACUGGGCUAAUCAAACAAAACAUUGUUCUCAGAAGGCAGGAAGAAAGAAAAGGCUUGUCUUUGGGUCACAACGUUUGGGAUUCAUAUCUAUAUAUAAAAAUAUUAUAAAUAUAUAUAUAUAUUCCCAACUAAAAGGUUGCUACGAAACUUGGGAUUCCAGAGGCGUGGCUGGUUUGCACAGAGCGUGCACUGUACAGAAAUCCCAGGAGGGGAGGAAUCUGAAAGUUAAGAGCCAUUAAAAGGAAAGAGGGGGGAAAAAAAGUCCCAGGCACUUGAUGCCUGGAAAUGAUGUAAGACUCAGCCACUCCUCCGUUAGACCUGCAACCAAACGAUUCUCAGAUCCGUCGCAGCUGCUCUCCAAAUGUCAGCGCCAGUGCUGGGCAAAGCUUGAAACCCACCAGGCUUCAGGAGGGCCAUUCUCACCCACAUUUUCCCCCGAGCACUCUUAGGAACCUGGCAACAGGUAACGUGGCAACCUUUGACUUCUUAAAAGGCGAGUGGGAUAAUUUCAGGGAACAAACGGACUGUUUUCGAGCCAGCUGCGUCUCUCCCAACUGCCCCCGCAUCCAACCUUCUCCCUCCCAAUAGUCUGAGAAAACAAAUUUAAGUGCUGAAGGCUGUCCCGCUCUUGUGCGUCCCCUGGUGGCCAACAUCGGCACAACACGCACGUGUUCGGAACCCCUCCGCAGUUCCUGCUGCACACAGUGUCGAUGACCUGCAGGAUACAAGCUCGACAUGACUUUGUGAGCAGUCAACGUUGACAUUGCCUGGAAUUCAGGAAUGUACUCCAAAGGCAUAUGUGUUGAAAGCUUGGUCACCAAGGCAAUGUCCGGGGCUGGGAUUUCAAGAGCAAUCCGAUCAGAAGGACGCUCGCUAAUCAGUGGAAGCCUGGCUGUUUCUGCUGGAUCCUGCCACCAUUGCUGAUUUGUGUUUGGUAUCCUGACACUAUUGAACUGGACUGCUGGUAUCCUGACAAUCAGAGUUCGAAAUUACCUCAAGGAACUACUUCUAAGCAGGUCUGCAUCCCCUUGUCCUAUUUACCACAUUUUCCCCCCUACCUUUGGAUGGUGGGCUAGAAAGGGGGGGCAGUUGAAGCAUUUGAUAACCCUAAAGUAAGUUUUGAAAAAUCUAAGCCUACAUAUGCCUAUAGGAACCUUUCUUAAUCAAACCACCAUCUAUUCAGCUAUGAUAUUUUCAUGCAUAUAUAGAAUGUUUUGGUUGUUUUAAUCCCUGCUUCUCUGACCCUCUUCCACUCUUCCUCUUCUCAACUAGUCUCCCCUAUCUGUCUGUCUGUCUAUCUGUCUGUCUUUCUCCUCUGUCUUUCUUUCUUUCUUUCAUUAGGGUUGCUUACAGAAGCAUGAGCAAUGGUUAUCAGUGACCAAGCUGAAGAAGGUAUCUCUCAGGGGUUCUGGAGAGAUGGCUUAGUGGUUAAGAACAUUUGAUGCUCUUUUAGAGAGCUCAGGCUUGGUUCCCAGCACCCACACGACAGCUCACAACUCCAGAAUUCCAGUUCAAGGUCUUCUAUCUCUGGAGGCAUCAGGCAUGCCUGUGGCCAACACUCAUACACACAAUAAAUGCAUUUUUUUUCUUUUUUUUCGGAGCUGGGGAUCGAACCCAGGGCCUUGUGGUUGUUAAGCAAGCGCUCUACCACUGAGCUAAAUCCCCAACCAAUAAAUGCAUUUUUAAAAAGAAAGAAAGAAGCUGUCUUUGCUUCCCCUAGCAACCAUCAGUUGUUGGGAGGAUCUCCAGGAGGAAUGAGCUUAUGACUCCUUCCCCAUAGAUAACUUUAUUUUGUGUUGCAGCUUUGAAAGUUUGCCUCUGUGCUGAUGGAAAAAAAAAAUACAUACUACUAAAAAAAAAAAGCUAAAAUUUUAUUCCUAGACCAGGAUGGUUAAGGUGAGACCAUUUAAACAUCUUCUGAGGGGUUGUAUAUUUGUGAUACCCUCGGAUUUAUUCAAAUGGAUCAGGUAUCCACCAGAGAGAUGAAUGGUGCCAAUAACCACCAAGAAGGAAAUAUUCUUUUCCAAGAGGAGAACCUGGCUUUCUAAUGAAGCAUCUAGUUGCGUCCAUGGAUCAUGAGUUCUACACAGCUGACAGAGCAGCCAAUGGCUUCCUUAGAAUUCCAGUGCAUUCCAGCAACCUGACUACUGAGACCUGACAGCCUGGUUUUCAUGUGGCGCUGUACCCAACACUCUGCAGAGGUACCUCCUCCUUAUAGGUUGUAGUAAAGGAUUUCAGGAGGAUGAACUAAACAGGAUGAAGGGGGUGUUUUCUUCACAAACACAACCUAGCUCACGGUUGAGGGAGCUUUGUGAGAAAUUUCUUUUUUUUUUCUCUCCAUUUUUCUUAACUUGAGUAUUCUUAUUUACAUUUCGAUUGUUAUUCCCUUUCCUGGUUUCCAGGCCAACAUCACCCUAACCCCUCCCCCUCCCCUUCUUUAUGGGUGUUCCCCUCCCCAUCCUCCCCCCAUUACUGCCCUCCCCCCAACAAUCACGUUCACUGGGGGUUCAGUCUUGGCAGGACCCAGGGCUUCCCCUUCCACUGGUGCUCUUACUAGGAUAUUCAUUGCUACCUAUGGGGUCAGAGUCCAGGGUCAGUCCAUGUAUAGUCUUUAGGUAGGGGCUUAGUCCCUGGAAGCUCUGGUUGCUUGGCAUUGUUGUACAUAUGGGGUCUCGAGCCCCUUCAGCUCUUUCAGUCCUUUCUCUGAUUCCUUCAACAGGGGUCCCGUUCUCAGUUCAGUGGUUUGCUGCUGGCAUUCGCCUUUGUAUUUGCUGUAUUCUGGCUGUGUCUCUCAGGAGAGAUCUACAUCUGUUUCCUGUCAGCCUGCACUUCUUUGCUUCAUCCAUCUUGUCUAAUUGGGUGGCUGUAUAUGUAUGGGCCACAUGUGGGGCAGGCUCUGAAUGGGUGUUUCUUCUGCCUCUGUUCUAAACUUUGCCUCAAUAUUCCCUCCUAAGGGUAUUCUUGUUCCCCUUUUAAAGAAGGAGUGAAGCAUUCGCAUUUUGGUCAUCCUUCUUGAUUUUCAUGUGUUCUGUGCAUCUAGGGUAAUUUGAACAUUUGGGCUAAUAUCUACUUAUCAAUGAGUGCAUACCAUGUGUGUUUUUGUGUGAUUGGGUUACCUCACUCAGGAUGAUAUUUUCCAGUUCCAUCCAUUUGUCUGUGAAUUUCAUAAAGUCAUUGUUUUUGAUAGCUGAGUAAUAUUCCAUUGUGUAGAUGUACCACAUUUUCUGUAUCCAUUCCUCUGUUGAAGGGCAUCUGGGUUCUUUCCAGCUUCUGGCUAUUAUAAAUAAGGCUGCUAUGAACAUGUUGGAGCACGUGUCUUUGUUAUAUGUUGGGGCAUCUUUUGGGUAUAUGCCCAAGAGAGGUAUAGCUGGGUCCUCAGGUAGUUCAAUGUCCAAUUUUCUGAGGAACCUCCAGACUGAUUUCCAGAAUGGUUGUACCAGUCUGCAAUCCCACCAACAAUGGAGGAGAGUUCCUCUUGAGAAAUUUCUAAGCAAUUAAUUUUAAAAAUUAAUUCUGCCUAAGGAGGCCAGGAGAGGAUCCCUUAGGAAUGGAGUUAUGUUGUGAGGGGUGAUGUGGGUGCUGGGAAUUGAACUCAGGUCAUCUGGAAGAGCAACACGUGUUCAAAGGAUGAGCCAUCUUUCCGGUUCCUGAGAAAUUUAAAUCUCAGCAUUUACAGAAGUAAGUCACGUUUCUGAUGAUACAUGUUUAUACAAACCUUCUCUUGAUAUCUGACAGCUAUCAUGUAGGUGGAAUGUUCUUGUUUUCAUCAUAAACCAAUGGACAUUAGUUUUUUCAUAUCUUAGUGAGAUCAGCUUAGUAAGAACACCCGCGUGACCUGACAGAAACAGUGUAAUGGCCCCAUUCUUCUUUCUGUAUCUGUGAAGCCACUGACCAGAUGUUGGCUUUCCUGAGCUGGGAUUUGUCUUGGACACCUUUCAACCCUCUAGGCUCCCUUCCUUCCUAGCCAACCUCUAUGUUCAACAAUUCUGAACCACUCUAAAGGCCCUUUACUCUUUAUUCUCCUUCCUGUCCCCGGAACUCCAGGAGGAAGAAAAAAUUCAUUUUCUCUGCCCUCACAGCUCACAGGUACAUGAGAAUCACAAUGUUUCUUAGUUCCAAUAUCCAGAGUCCCUGUCACAUGAGGAACACUUGACUAUACAUUACACAGAAGCCUUCCUGAUGUGGCAAUGCCCUCGGUGACUGGUUCAUGGUGGGUGCAUGCUAUGUUCGCAUAAUUGUCCCCACGAAGCCCUAGGCUUUGUCCUAGUCUAGAACACUGUUGAGACAUAGUAAAAACUUUAGGAAAUGGGACCCAGUGGAAGGAUUUACAUCUUUGAGGAAGAGGUGUGUGCUGGAUAGUUUUAUGUCAACUUGAUAUAAGCUGGAGUUAUCUGAAAGGAGGGAAUUUCAAUUGAGAAAAUGCUUCCAUAAUACCCGACUGUAGGGCAUUUUCUUAAUAGUGAUUGAUGGGAGAGAACCUAACCCACGGUGAGUGGUGCCACCCCUGGGCUGGUGAUCCUGGGUUCUACAAGAAAUCAGGCUGAGGAAGCCGUGUUUAGCAAACCUGUGAGCAGCACCCCUCCACGGCCUCUGCAUUAGCUUCUGCGUCUAGGUUCCUGCCCUGCUUGAGUUACUGUCCUUACUACUUGUUACAUGGAACCAUGAGUAACCACCGCCCCACCAAGUUGCUUUUGGUCAUGGUGUUUUGUCACAGCAAUAGUAAUCCUGGAUAGGAUGGCAUGCAUGCCCUCGAAGGUGAUGUUGGGAUCUCUCCCACUCCCCUCCCCUUCCCUCUCUCCCUCUCUCCCUCCUCAUGCCCUCCACAAAGUGAAUAAGUUUCCUCCACUAUAGGAUGUGCUGCCUCCCUACAGGCCUAAAAGACCUUCAAAUCCCGACUCAACCUUACUUCUUUUUACGUUGACUCAUCUCAGAUAUUUGCUACAGUAAUGGAACGCCAACUCAGUUCGAGAGAUCGCUUGGUAAAGAACGGAAGAAACGCGCCAGCUGGCAGGUCACGUGUUCCCGUUGCUUGGCUGCGUCUAGCUGAAAAGACGACCCACCUCAUGGAAACUGAUUAUUUGAGCUGGAGACACAGCCAACUAUUUUCUUUUUUGCCGUUUUUUUCUAGGUAAACUGAGCCACACAAGGAGCCCGAGAAAGCAGAUUUAACAGGUUUUGAAUUUAUUUUCCAUUUUAUUUACUUUUUCUUUUUCCUUCUUUCGGGAAAAGGUCUCACUAUGUAGCUCUGACUAACCUGGAACUCACUAUGUGGGCUGGCCUGUCUGCCUCCUGAGUGCUGGGAUUGAAGGCAUGCACUACUCUCGAGCUUGCUUUUUCAACAGAUAUUUUCUCCCCCACGCUCAUGCAGGACGGAAGGAAGUCUGAUGUAAGGGAACUGGAACAAAUAUAGAAUUAAUGAAGUCAUCCCACUUUUAGAAUCUAUUUUAAGGGCUUUUAUCUUAACACUCAGACCAGUCGGUUCCUAGUGGAGCAACAAGAAUAAUUCUCUAAACUCUGGGAUCAUGUAGCCUCUUUGCUGAACUCAAGAAGUGACUCCAAUUUUACUUAUUGUAGGAGAAGGAACCUCUCCCCCGCCAACCCAUGUUAGAGUAGCAAUGGAGGGGGGCAGCCAUGAAGGAAAUAAACAAGUAAUAAAUAAAAAAAUAAUAAAAGAAUUAAAAAAGACCCUGUGCUUUUCUGAAAGACUUAAAAUUUAAAAAAGGAAUUUAUUUUUAUUUCUGUGAUUGUUCUGCUUGUAUGUAUGUAUGCAUGCAUGUAUGUAUGUAUGUAUGUAUGUAUGUAUGUAUGUAUGAUGUACAUGCCUGGUGCCAUAUGGGUCAGAAGGAGGAAUUGGAUCCCACUAGAACUGAAAUUAUAUUAUCUCUCUCCCCUCUCUCUUCCUCCCUCUCCUCUUUCUGUCUUCUCUCUCCCCCCUUCUCUCCCUUCUCUCUCCCCUCUCCUCACUUCCUCUGUCCUGGGACUCACUCUGUAGACCAGCGGGCCUCAAACUCAGAGAUCUGCCUGACUCUGUCUCCUGAGUGAUGGGAUUAAAGCAUGCACAACCACCACCCAGUUCAUUUUCCUUUCUUAAAAGCUAAUGAGAAUCCCACUGCACCAGGGAGUAAUUAAAACUUUAGUUAGAUUCUGCACAUUGCUAAACAUCUAUCUUCUUUAGAGCAUUUUCCUUCCUUCCUUCCUCCCUCCCUUCCUUCCUUCUUUCCUUCCCUCCGUCCCUCCCCCCCUCCUUCCUUUUACAUUUUAUUUUAGGCGUAUGGGUGUUUUGCUGGCAUGUAUCAAUGCACCGUGUGGGUGCCCACUGCCCAUAGUGGUCAGAAGAGAGCAUCAGAUCCCUUAGAAUUGGAGUUGUGAUGUGCCACAAAUGGAAGAGUAGCCAGCUCUAACUGCUGAGCGAACAUCCCUCCAGCUCCCCGCUAACACCCCCCCUCCCCCGCUUCACUCUCUUGGCUCCGUUCCAGCUGUUUUCCACUGGAAGCUCAUGGUCUACAUCUAGCAAGUCAUCUAGCAGCUCCACACUGAGGUGCUGCGGGAGCCCCUUCUCGCUGCAGCCAGUCCUUUCUCUGGAGCUCCCCCUCCCCCAACCUGCCCUGCUGGAUUCUUGCAUCUGACCUCACAUCCUCCUCUCCUUUUCCAGCCACCCUCAGCAGAUUCCCACUGGCAAUCCUAACUGUCUUUCACCUUUCCUUGAGAGUCUCCUUGUGUGAAAAAAAUCUAAGAGUUCGGCCCAAAGGAUGGAGUUUAAGACCCAGUUCAGCCUGAGCCAGCCUUGGCUUCAUUGCUUCCCUGAUGACCCUCUUCUGCGGUCAGAUGCUUCCCUCCACAGAUGCGCGGCACUUAGGCGCUUCACUGCCUUGUAGGUGCCUGGGGAAACCCCAUCUUUACUUUGCCCACGAACCCUUUACUCCCAGUUUUUGACAGAUGGACAUUCCCAAUCCAAACCAGUGACAGCAGUGUCUCUCCACCGUGUCGCUUUACGCUUGGCUAUCUCGAUCAGAGUCCUCAGUACAUGGAAUUAACAUUUUUCUCUCCUUCCAUUCCCUUUCUGUCUCUUCCUCUCCCAGUUUUGAGACGGAGCCUCAGUGUAUCACUUGGGCUGGCCUGGAUUUCUCUAUUGUAGCUCAGGUUGGCCUUGAACUUACGACCUUCUUGCUUCAGCCUUCAUAGUUACAAUUCUUCAUUUACGUUUCUCUUGCCCUUAAUGACCUGCGCAUUCUGUUGGAAUACUGUUUCUGUUGGCCACCUUAACAAUGUUGCUCUUUAGGAGAAGGAAUUGAUGGAAAACACCAGUUGCUAGGAUACGCAGAGCAGACAGCUAUUCUAACUAAGCAGCGAAGGUGGAAAUGUCAUUGCUGCAGUUUGCUGCUGUGCACGAGAGGAAGAUGCUAACGUGAAGAUGACUGACUCUAACCUUGCCAGUGUCAUGUCACCUCGUCCACCUCACCAUCAGCACCACUGCUAUCGUUUCAGCCAUCAGCACCUCCACCACCAUCUUCAUAGCUCCCAUCUCCAUGUCCACCACCUACCUUUACCUCCACUGCCGCUGUAAACAUAACUACCAAAUCAACCUCCAUCAUCGCAACCAUCUCCAUCUCCAUCAUCUCCACCUCCAUCACCUCCACCAUCUCCACCUCUACCAUUAUCACCUCUCCUAUCUUGCCGUCAUUGACAAGCCAACCACGGCUACUAACUGCCCUCAUUAGCAUCACUGAGCACCACCAACUACUAGGCAGUGAGUUAGCUGAGGCGUUGAAGUCACCUCACUCCAUCUCUGAGAUUCUGAAAUAUAUGUAUGGCUCUGAGACCUCGCUGGCGCCUUCGUGAUCUCACAGCCCUGGGGCCUGUGUUACAGGCACUGGGUUUGUUUCUCUGAAAGCAACUUGCAGAAGAAUGAGAGCAGCAUUUCAAUGUAAUCACCAUCCUACAGAUGCUUAUUUUGAGAUCAUAUCCACUCAAACGGGUUUCUUAAUUUGUAUCUGUGAGCUUCCAGGACAGGCUUCUGCUUGUUUAUCCUUCCUUUGCAUCCUCUGUGAUGCCGGAACUCACGUCUGUCCCCACAUUUCCCCGAUUUUAACCGUCUGUAUCUGUAUUAUAGUUCCUCAGGUACCAGCCUGUCAUUCUUCAGACAUCUCAACUCUUUCCUUCAAACCAACUCUACUUCUGAGGGUGGGAGAGGAAAGCCCCUUUGACAGAGUCCAUUCCUGUUGCAUCUCCAGUCCCUGCCUUUGUUGAAUUUGUCUCGUGCCAACUCUAGCAUGCCUUCAUUUUGGCCCACCAUGUCAGCACUCCCGGUUUCCUUUCCUGGCUCUUCUGGCCACAUCCUUAGGAUUACCUGUUUCAGCAACGUAGUUGUCUGUCUUCUUGUUGAGCUGUCGUUUAAUUUAUUCUAAUUCACUCAUUAACUGUUUCUGUACUUAAUAUCCUUUGGGGGGCAGGGCUUCCCAGGAACUGAACCAAGAAUCCUUUCUCUGUUGUGGGAGGUGUUGUGCUUCUGGUGCAUCUGUGCAACUGUGAUGGAUCUGGUGAUCCAGCCAAAUCUAAUAACAUGCUUGAAUGCUCGAACAUUCUCUGGGAUUUUUCCAUAUCUGGCCAUUGGUUUGACUAAUUCUUUUAGGUCAAUUUCUCUAUCUCACCUGUUGAAGGUCCAUCAGAUUUGCUGGUGCUGGGGAUUGAACCCAGAGUAUCUCUCAUGUUAAGCAAAUGCCCUACCUCUGAGCUGCUAUAUCCCCAGUCCCUGAAGGACCCAGACUUUUCAGGCCUUCAUCAGCUCAAACCAUUUAUCCCAUACUCUCACUUCACCUUCUGCAAAUCUUGAUCCUCUGAAUUAAUUCCUUCCUUCCCUCCCUCCCUCUUCCCUCCUUCCCCUUCUCCUCCUCCUCCCUCCCUCCCUCCUUCUCUCUUCCCCCCCCUCUCUUUUUUCCUCUCUUCUUUUGUCUUGUGUUUCUUUUCUCUUUUUUUUCCUUUCUUUUCUGAUCAGGGUCUCACUCUGUCGUCACAGCUAGCUUACAAGUCACUGUACAGACCACGCUGGCCUCAGACUUGUAGAGAUCCACCUGUUUCUGGAUUCAAGGUAUGUACCACCCUGCCCAGUCAUGUGAUCUUCUCUUAUGAAAUACACAUCCUGCUAAAUAUGAUAGUUAUUAGUGUCUUUUUCUUAAUAGUGUCCACAAUUUAAUAACUUUAUACAUUUUGAUUGAAUACUUUAAAUUUUUUCUAAUAAGAAUUGAUAAGGAUCAGAAAUGAAAAUCAAAAAAAUAGGGGGUUGACGUGGUUCAGUGGUUAAGAGCGCUUUCUGCUCCUACAGAGGACAUAACUCCUGUUUCCAGCAGUCAAAUGGCUGCUCAACAUCAACUGUAACUACAGUUCUAGGGGGCCUAACACUGCUUCUGGCCUUCAUAGGUUUCUGCGCGUACACACACACACACACACACACACACACACACACACACACACAUACAUUCUCACACACACUCAUAAAAAAUGAAGAAAGGAAACAUAGGGUCAAAUUAAUAUUACAAUAUUCUGAUAGGUUGCUCUACCAUAAAAUUUUAUUCUCAAGAAUAUUGUUAAUUGAUUGACUAAUCACUUUUUUUAGUGUGUAUGUUGGAGAUGAGGGGCCCAGGCCUUAUGUACACUAGAUAUGAACUCUACCAUUGAGCUACCUCCUUAGUCCCCAUUCUGAAAUUUGAUAGAAAAUUCAGAAGAGUUGGAAUUUUCUCUUAUAACUGUCUUAUAAGCGGUUGCUUUCUACUCAACCAUAGAGAAAAACUCUAGAAAGAAAUUUAGCCACUUUCUCUGCCAUCUUUUACAGCAUAGGACAAUCACAGGACUAAUGGCUAUGUGUGAACAUGUGUGAACAGCUCUAGGGGAACUCUUAGGGCUUCUGUUCCUGCACAAAACAUCAUGACCAAGAAGCAAGUUGGGGAGGAAAGGGUUUACUCAGCUCACACUUCCACAUUGCUGUUCAUCACCAAAGGAAGUCAGGACUGGAACUCAAACAGGACAGGAAGCAGGAGCUGAUGCAGAGGCCAUGGAGGGAUGUUACUUACUGGCUUGCCUCCCCUGACUUGCUCAGCCUGCUCGCUUAUAGAACCCAGGACUGAUGCCUUAGUUAUGACAACUGUGCUCUUUCUAUGUCUUCUUUUCUCUUUAUCUCUUUAAUUUUUGUGGUGCUGGGGAAUCAAACCCAGGGUGUCCUGUAUCUGGGGUUAUACUCUGCCAGUGAGUUACACCCCAAGUCCACAAUGGCACUCUUGAUUGACAUAACCACUGCAUAUUUACAACUAAUGUUGGGUUCUCAUUCUCCAUCCAAUGGAUUUUCACAGUUUUGUUCACUUCCGUUCUCUUCCUUUUCAAAAAUGAAUCUUAAUUUAUGUACAUAUAUGAAUGUUCUGCCUGCAUUUAUGUAUGUAUAUCAUACACAUGCCUGGUGCCCUCAGAGUUCAGAAAAGGGCAUCAGAACCCCCUGGAACUGGAGUUAUGGGUGGUUGUGAGCCACCAUGUUGGUUCUGGGAACAAAACCCAGGUCUUCAACAAGAGCAAAGAGUGCUCCCAACCAUUGAUCCAUUAUCACUCCAGCUCUCUCUUCUAUUAUUCCUUGGUUCUGUACCAGUUGGCUUUCCUAACAGAAACAACAGUGUGGUCUCUGAGGGUAUAAAACAACCCAUGGGACAACAUUAUCAUCCCGUCUCUGGAGGGAGUUAAUAUCAACCCUUAUGUUCAGAAAAGCACAGCUCUGGCUAGCACACAUCCAGCAUGUGCUGUGUCACCAGGAAUGAUUGAGUGCAAGAAUCAGGCAGAUUACUGACCUGCAUGGCAAGUUUAUAGCAUAUACGGGCUGUGAGAACGGCCUGAGGAUUCUCACAUUUAAGGUUGGGUAGCCUAAGCUUUGAUGUUUUGUUGGUUUAAUUAAGUUAAUUGCAUCUCUAAUAUGGGAGGGGGGUGGUUCUAGAAGUUCAACUCAGCUAAGCACACCCCUGAUACUGAAUUCCAUUUACAAAGUCUCCAAAUACCUCUCUCUCUCAUGUGCGUAUGUGUGUGUGUCCUUUAGGUAUUGAAUCCACACACACACUUGCACAUACUCAUAUACAUACACACAUAUACACUCACAUAUAUACACACAUAUACAUACACAUACUUGCACACACACCCACAUACACACAUAUGCAUGCUUUAUAAAUCUGGAAACACACUCUUGCUGAACCAGUUAUUCCUACAAACAUUAUGUGGUUGAAGACUAGAAUCUAAAGCUUUGAGGAGUAGAUUGAAUGCUACUUUCUGAGUGUUCUGACUGGGGAAUUACGGUGAAGUCAGGAGCAGGAAGGCCAGCUAUAUAUGAAACACCAGCUCAGCUUAGUUUCUCUUAUAAUAUACAACUCAAAAUUAAAACUAAUGGCACUAUAUAAGCAAAACCAUCCUGUGGUACCAACCUAUAAAAAAAUGACUGAAUCUGGCCUGAGGUUUAAUGGAGUAAAAAAGGUUAAACUCAGAUAAUCUCCUAAUCUGUCAAAAAAAGAAGCUUUUUUUUCUUUUUCUCCUACAGGGAUGAUAAACGGUAGAUUUCAGUUUCACAGACUCAGCUGGAAAACCAAGGGUAAAACAGUAGGUGCUUAUGUGGGCUAGACAGGUGAGCUAAUAUUUCCUCGGUAUGAGGAACAUGUAACAAGGAGACCAGAGAGAGAAUCACCAUCAUGGAGAGGAGAUGAGGCAUUGAGCAAACAGUUAAAGAGAAUUGGAUCAUCUUGGAGAUGCUUGUAAGGCUAAAGAAAGCGACCUGGAGCUGUGUGACUGAGAAAGACUAAGAAAGAGGAGACAGGGGCUGGUGAGGUGGCAGCAGGGGUUUGUCUGUGUGGGUGAGAGAAGGUGUCUGUGUGUGUGCGAGUGUGUGUAUGUAUGUGUGAGAGUGUGUGUGAGGUGAGUCAGUCCCUGCUAGGACUGACUUUGAUGUGGAAGGGGUCGGUUAUCUAUGCCUAUUAUUAUUCAAGAAUAUAAAUAGUGUGAUGGUGCUUAGCUGGUGAGAUAACUGUUUCAUUACUGACAAGAAGAAUAAAGUAGGCAGAGUGCUAGCCUAUACAAAUACCACAUGUUUAUAAUAUGCGUUAACAAGAGGCUUUAAUAACUGGUGGAUGAUAUACCACAAGAAAUGAGAUUUACCCAAGGUUCUAUCACAUGCUGAAGAAACUCACCCCUCUCUCUACAUUAGGUUCAGAACAGCACCCCAAAAUGGCAGUGCUGCUGACAUUGUCCUAAACAGAGGCUGGGGCCAGGCAAACAGAAGGGUUAUUAUUGGGUGGACAAGCAUACAGGUGGCUCCUGUCUACCAGGAUCUUUUAAUUUUCCCGAAAGUCAACUGCCUCGGGCACAGGGCAUCUAGUUUCCAGUUGAUCCUAGCAGCCCAGGUCAGCUCAUUUACUAUAGAACCUCUUGCUUUCCCACCAUUCUGCUCUUCUCUCUGUCCCUAGAAAGAUGGCCUUGGCAUUUUGAUCACUGAUAAACAUUUCUUUGUAUCCACAGAGUGGUCUAGUAUGGUGGUUUAACUGUGCUCAGGCUUAUACUACGAGUAGAGGAAGAAGGAAUGGCCAUGGAGUUGGGAACAUCCUCUUCAAAGUAGCUGGACACAUUCCCUGAGAAAGACUAGACAGAGCCUAGAGAAGCAGGGUGUUAAUGUAUUAUCUCUAAUAUAAAUGUAGCAGCAAAUUAAGCCAGCAGCUGUAAUUGUUUUUAUCCCAAUAACUACAUGGAGAAACCAAGGUUUAUUUAAAAUUGGACCUUAAUAGCUGAGCAGUUAAGUGACCUACCUUAACCUCUUUUCUGGCUACCUCCCAACCCCAUCCCACGAUACCUGCAUAUUAUUAUUGAUCUGGCUCUUUGGGCUUCAGGUGUGUUUCCACGAUCUCUCUCUCUCUCUCUGGACCCCACCCUCAUGGCUCCAAACCCUCCAUCCUCCUUGAUAUUCUCAAUCUCUCUUCCUCCCUCUCUCCCUCUCUCCCUCCCUCCCUCCCUCUCUCCCUCUCCUGACUGGCAGACAUCCUGCCCUAUUUCUCUAUUCUGCCCAGCCACUGGGUGAUCAGCCUUUAUUGACAAGUCAGAGAAUAAAUGGUAAGAACUGCUUACACAAACCUGAGAUAGGAGAUUCUCGGUAUAUGCAUUAUAAUGGCGUGUCCGGAUUGAGACAAGAUAUAAAGUCAGAGGAGUCGACGUUUGAAUAACCCAUGGGUAAACGUUACACAGUGUGCAAACACAUCAUGACUACAACAGAUCAUUCUCUUUAGGGGAAAAGUUGCUGAGAGUCUGGUGGAAGAGAACUUUCCUUGGGCCACUUCUAUGUGAAAGGGUAAGGAGGUAUUAUUCAUAUCGUAAUACGCUAACCUCCAAAGGAGGACAGAGAGCACAAUUUGACAAAAUAAAGGAAGAAUCUGAAUGCAGUGGAAGCCUUCAAAGGGUCAGCCACACAAGGAAGCUGCAACCACAUGCUAGUCGUAACGCUGAGUAUUCUGGUAGCCAUCGUAUGAGAGCUUUGUCCUUAUUUCUAAAACAUUGAUUUUUCCCUCUGAUCAUUUGAAGCAAAGACAACGUUGUCCAGAAGACUGUGUAACCCUGUAAGUAUUAACUGUCUUCCUUGCCUUUUUUUAUCUAGUUGUCUUGACGAGGUUUCUUUGAAUACUUAACACUUGGAGAAGAAUCGAAUGAGGGCAGGACGCAUCAGGAAGCAGAGAAGGGAGGUGGGAAGACAGGAAACUGUGUUUCUUUACUUUCUGGUCUCACGCUGCAAAGCCAGAGUGUAAGAGCUCUUUGUGUAGUGAGAAAUACUUGCUUCAAGCUCCCUGUCACUAUCUGAUGACAAGCUGAGCUGGGGAAGCUGUGCAGGGUGUUUCUUGGGAGCCUGAUCACGUGGUUGAAAGAUGAGGCCCUUUUCCAAACCAACCCGGAAGUUCAAACCGUGAUCAACGAAGCAUAGACAUGACUAUUCAUGCAACUCCUUUGAAAACUAUGGCAAAGCACACUGUCAACGUUGUAACAUUUUUACUGCAGUUGGCAUUGGUUGCUGUAUGUGUACUGUGCACCUCUAUGUGGCAGACCCGAGAAGGACACUGGGUGUCUUCCCUAAGCUCCCUGUUUCAGCCAGGUUGUUCGGCCAUUGAACUCUUGUGAUUUGCCCAUCUCCGCUCCCCAGAUAACUGUGGCUCCAGGCACAUAAGGUCAUGCUUUGGUUUUUAUGUGGGUAGUGCAGAUUCAAAACUCAAGCCCACUUGCAUGUGUGACAAGUGCACUCACCCUCUGAGCCAUCUCCCGAGCCCCUUAUAGUAUGUUUUAAAGAAUAUGUUAACAAUAGUAAUAUCCAUCAUAGUAAUAAUAAUUCCAUCUUUUUAUCCAUUUUUGUAGAUUAAGGAGCAAAUGCACUGCUCCCUUCUAUCAGUGUUGGUUAUCCCUGAGGAUUUUACAUGGAAGUGUUUCUUCCCUGCAAAUGUUUUUGUUCCCUACAGCUUCGGCAAGAAACUAGUUGCCUCUGAAGGAACAGACAGCCAGGCAAGAUCAAAGAAAAGUGUCAGUGCUCAGAAUCUGGGACCCUGCAUAGAUACAUGUGCCAUGAGUUCUAUGGGAAUCAGAGUCAAGUAUACAAAGUUGUUAGAGUUUUACCCCUGCGACUGUAAAUGUCAUCUAGCAAAAGGGACAUUGGAGAAACAAUUAAGGAUCUUGAGAUGGGGAAAAGAUCUUGGAUUAUAGGGGUGGAUCUAACCUUAACUCAGAGAUCCUCAGAUAGGAAGGGAGUGAAGCCAGAGAGUUGGUGUCCAAGCAUCAGGUCACUUGGCUGUGACUGGCUUUGAGAGUGGAAAGAGGCCACGAACUUAGGAAAGGAAAGGUCUUCAAAGGAGCUACAGGAUAUCCGGUCACUCUGUGAACCCCGAGAUUGUGUUGUUUGCAGGAAACAAUACCUGUUUCUACUUGUGGUGUGGCACACAACUUUAAUCCCUCUGGCUAGAAUACAGACACAUCCUUAGUACGCACCUUCAAGCCCAUGAAAUCCAAUGAAAGUAAAGUUAGUUUGUAGAAGGAAGCACCCAUGCUUCAAAGGGAUGUCUAAUUGAGUGACAGAAAAAGUGACGAAUCAGAGAAAGAUUUGACAGAAUAGGACCCUUACAGGGUUGGCUCUUAUAAGGACACAGAGAAAAGAGAGGCUACUUGAGAGAGAGGGAGAGGGAGAGGGAGAGGGAGAGGGAGAGGGAGAGGGAGAGGGAGAGGGAGAGGGAGAGGGAGAGGGAGGGGGGAGGGAGUUUUAUCAGGAGAGUUUUACAGAGACAGGUCAAAAAGAGAACAAGUUAGACAUAGGUGAAGAUAAAAACCAGCCAUAGAAAUGAGAAAGCGCUAGAAGGAUCCAGAAGAUCAGAACGGAUUGCCAGAGUUAGUCUGAGGCCAAGUAGAGCAAACCUUCAGGAGACGCUGAGAGAGAAGCCAGAUUGGAGAGUGGUUUGAGCCAGAACAGCCGAGUUGAACCAACCAGCCAGAGCUCAGAAAUAAUUAGGAAGGGUGAGCUUAUUCAGUAGUAAGUCUCAGAGGCUGAAAUCAUUCUAGGCCUAGAUUAGAUUGUACGGAGGCUGGAAGCUUCUAGGACUAGGCUUUAGCAGUCAGAGGCAGUAAGUCUUAGAGAUGACAUCAGGUCAGUGAAAGAUGCUUUUACACAGAGGGAAUGUAACCCCCUUGCUAUCAUGAUAUCAGUCUCCAGAGAAUACAUCAGACUUCUUGACCUUUGAGUGCUCUACAACAAUCCAUUAGUGCUGUUUUCAGGUACCACUUCUGUGAACUGUAUCACAGUCACAGUAGGAAGCCAAUAGAGGCUCCACUCUCAAACUCACAUUCGACUCACUUUGGUAUGCCUCAGAUUGUGGAUGCCCGUUUAGGAAGACUUUUCUCUUGAUUAUCUUAUCAUGUUUUCUCUAGAUUAAGGGGCUAGGUGGUUUAAGAUGAUAAAUGAUGUGACUAGGGAUGUAGUUCAGUUGCUAGAAUGUCUUGUCUUGCAAGGAUAAGGCUGUGGAUUUGAUUCAAGCACCAUAGAACUCUCUUCUUCUUCCCCACUCCCUCUGGACACACACAUGAGCAUGUAUGUGCAUUUGUGUGUGCAUGCACAAGCACACACACACACACACACACACACACACACACACACACACACACACACACACACCAGACCUCUCACAAAGAAAAGGAAUACCAAUGCCAAAAACAUAAACACAUGUAGGGAACUCAGCAGCAGAACUAACUAAUUUGGUACAAUUCUUCAUUAGUUGCUUCAGAUUCAACAUGAUGCUGAUACUAUCAGAGCUGACAAGAGUUUUGUCUCAGCUUAAAAGGAUCAAGGACAAAGAAUAUUUGCUUUCUAAAAUGAGGAGUUGGGUUUUAUCUUACAUUGUCACCAUUAUGAUCGAUUUAUUUCUUUUCAAGGCAGGGUCUCCCUAUGGUCUCUCCUUGUCUGGCCAAGAGUAGGUUGGCCCCAAACUUAUAGAGCUCUACCUGCUUCAGUGCUGAGUGCUGAGGUUAAAGUUGUUUAAGUCACUAUGCCUGGCUUUUUAUCUUACUUUAAUUUAGUUUAACUUUUUUUUUUUUCAAGAGGGUCUCCUAUAGCCCAGGCUGGUGUUGAAGCUACUACGUAGCUGAACGUAACUUUGAAUUUCUGAUCUUCCUGCUUCCACUCUGGAGUGCGAGCUUAUAAGGCUGUGCUAUUCCACCUGUAGGGAUGAGAACCAGGGCUCUGUGCGUGCUGGUUAAGUGCUCUACCCACUGAACUAUGCUCUUGGUCGAUAGGCUUUGAACAUAUCAGACCUUGUUAAUAAAUUACAUAAAAUCAUCACAAUGAAGAAGUACUCUUAAAAAUACAAAGUACUUACACUGUAGCUAGAAAUUAACAGUGAGUCCGAAGCAAACCCGACUAAGUAGCAGCCGUGUAACAAUAACCAUUGUUAUGAUGACCCCAUCCCUUACAGACUUUUACAAUGUAGCCAUAUCCUUACACAGAAUUAUUUGUUACCAAAUGCUAACCCCCUUGGUUCAUACACAAGAAGCCCAACGAUCUAAAAUCAGACAAAGUUGAGAUGCAAAGCUUAUACUAGCAUCAUAAAGGGAAGCAGAGAGAGGGUGGCCUGAGGAAGGAGGUAACUUCAACCAUCCAAAGAAAACAACAAGAGGAAUUGAAUGCUGAAAAGCUAUAGAAAGAGAACAGAAAACUGUAUAAAAGCUGUGGAAAAUAUCCCCGUAAAGUUUUGGAUGUUACUAUUGAUAAUAUUUGUAUUUUUUCAUCAGAUAUAAUUCUUAGAUUUUAGAUUAAAAAAAAAAAGGACAGAGCAAACUAAAACUGAGAAAGGUCUGUCUUUAGGCAGGCUGGCAAAUGGCUGCAGAGUGGGAAACAUCUGGCUUUGUCUGUGUUCCCUCCCCCACAGACACUUUGCCGAUGAAGGCCACAUGCCCCCUCCUUCCCUUCCUGCAGCCUUCUCUGUGAUGUUUGGAGCUUUCCAAGGUCCUUUCCUACUGAAAAUUCCUGUUUACUAUAGAGACAUGCUAAUCAUAAACAGUCUACACCACAAACACUGCCGUUUAGGACCCUGAAUUUGGCUUCUACUCUGUUAGGAAGCUUCCUCCUUACUCUGGCUUCCUACUUCCCCCCAUACACAGUUUCUUUUUUAAGGUCUAACCCCAUGUUUAAGCUCCCUUGUGAAUGAUAUUUUUAUAGGAUACAGCCUUGGACAGUGUCCACUAAACUACAAAAGACACUUUGAUGCAGGUCCCUUGUAUCGCUUACUGCUGUGUGUUCUGUAAAGUCAGUUCUGUGGUUUCGAGGAAGAAUUUAAAUACAUUUAUUUAUCUCUCUGUUCACGUUCAAACCAAAUUACUCCCAAACCUCAGGCUAUAAUUGAUAUCCUUGAACAACAAGCCUUUUCAUCGUCUGGAGCAACGAAGUUACAAGCCUUGCCGAUGAAUCUGACCUGUCCUGCGCUGGACUGUUGAUGGAGUUGAGAAAUGUAAUUUUAGAUUUCCCAGGGUCAGCUUGCCCUCGCCUUGGUGGCCCUCUCAAUAAUCUUUGUCUCUGUGAUCAUCAGGCAACACAUAUUGUAUGUCCUUUGAAAGCAGACCUAUCUUUUCCCUUCUUUAAAUGGUGUGACUAAGAAGAAAGGUGACCAUGGUUUCAAUGGAAAGCUGAUAUAUGCUGAGAAUUGCUCCUAGCCUCAGCAACCCAAAACAUGUGUGAUGGACAGAAAGGUCUACUUUCCAGGGCUCACACAAAUGCACCAGGCAGUGUGGCAUGAUCAUGUUCAAAUAUCAUUUGUGUGUGUGUGUGUGUGUGUGUGUGUGUGUUUGUAAAGUCAUGCCCUUGAGAAACAGAAAAGGUGGUAAGAUAUAAACAAGCAAAAAGAAAAAAAAUUAAUUAAUUUUGUAGUUAAAGCAACUUGAAAAAUUAUGGAAGAAUUAGAAAGACAAUUCUUUCUCUCUCUUUUUUAAAAUUUAUUUAUGUAAGCACACGGUUGCUGUCUUCAGACACACCAGAAGAGGGCAUACAGAUGGGUGUGAGCCACCAUGUGGUUGCUGGGAAUUGAACUCAGGACCUCUGGAAGAGCAAUUGGCGCUCUUAACUGCUGAGCCAUCUCUCCAGCCCCCAAAAGACAAUUCUUAAGAGCCUUCAGUAAGGUAACAAGGAUAUGACCUCCUACUUCCUAAGAGGUUUACAGCAUAGGAUGACCAUGAGGUUGGUUUUUUUUUUUUUUGAGUCUAAAAUGCAUCAUGGCCUCUUGAGACAUAGUUUGGGGAAUGCUCACAAGCACCCCUAUCUACCUCAUUCUUUAGGGGAGAUUGUGAAGUUCUAAAAUUCUGGGAGGACUAUUGGAAACAAGGUCUGGCCUAGGAUUUAAGUGGAGCAGCCGAAAGCAGGAACCACUUACCUUGGCUUUGGGCAGGACAAACAUGCAGAGAAGGCCGGUUUGUGACUUUCUGUUACAGGAGCAGACACAUCCAGGGGACCUCUACACUUGCGUUAAUGAUUUUACUAUUUUUAUUUUAUGCCUGUGAUUGCCUGGAUAUAUGUCUGUGCCUGAUGCUCUUGGAGGCCAGAAGAGGGCACUGGAUCCCCUGGCACUGGAGAUACAGAAACUGAACUGAGGUCAUCAGGUUUAGUGGCAGUGCCUCUACCUGCUGGGCCGUCUUCUUGUGAGCCUACCACGUGACGGGUUAUAAGUGGAGAGAACAGGGGUGGGAUGAGAAGGGAGAGCUGUUUGGAAGCUGACCAGCUAGGGAUAUGGCUGGCGUUCACUUUUUCCCAUGCACAUAAACAUAGCGGCCACCAGAGGGCGAUGUUGCACGAGAGCGAGCAGAGAGCAUCCUCUGGGAUUAUAGCACCCUACAUCGCACAAAUUCCACAAAUUCCCCUGCGACCCCUUCACGCCUCUCAUCUGACAGUUCCCCCUGGCACCAGGCAUGGGUCUCUGUGGACAAUGGCACCAUCAGGAACAUUCCUGCUGCUUUGUAAAACUGUAAGCACUUAGGAACAGACGCUUUGGAAAUGUAAAAGCAGAAUACCAAGCUUACAGAGAGGAUACUGGCAGCUGACUCACCCUAUUGCCUUUCUUCACGUGCUCUUCCCAGGGGCAACACUGCAGAGCUCCUUGGAGGGGCUCCGGAAGUUGGGGCUGUCUGUUCCUACGCUUCCUAUGCUUCCUACGGGCGUGUGCGUUCUCUUUCAUUAAAGAAAAUUUUAGUUUCAGGACUCAGAGAGAAAUGGUCAGUUUGGGAAUCCAUCGCUAGAUUUUCUUUUAAAUUUCCUAUAAAUAACUGAAUUGAAUCGUCAGAGAGAACGCUAGGGUUUAUGACCCCAGCUGAGCAGCAUGGGGGUCACAGGGACUUGCUUUGGGGAGGAAUCUCCACUCGGAGUUUACCUUGACUCUCUGUUUGUUGGAGCUUUAACUGCACGCGUUCCUGAGUUGCUAUCCCGAGACCUGGAGGAAUGCCUGCAAUUAGGACAAACAUGUCCAGGACUUAUUACUAUGGUAUUUAACGUCUUUUGGGUAUGUUGGGCAGCUAACAUGCCAACGAGAAUAAUCAACAACUACAGAACUGUAUUUUGGGAUUCUAGAAUGAAGUAAUAGAUGGCAGAGGUGUGACUCUAUAAAGAAUUGUUUAUGUAGUUUACAAAACUCAGGGCAGAUUGAGAUUCAGGAAAAAGAAAUUCAGAUGAAAGUUAAUUAUUUAAUUCAUUCAUUCAUUUUGCAUCUGUGCACAUAGAUGCCACGGUGUACUUGUAGAAGUCAAGGAACAAUUUAUGGGAGUUGGUUUCUCUCUUUUGGCCAUGAGGAUCUUGGGGAUAAAACUCAGGUCUCCAGGCUUGGCUGCAAGUAACAUUUAGCCCCUGAGCCAUCUCAUAAGCCCCAGUAUUUUUUAAGAUGGUGAAUGUGGUCCUCAUGUUAGACAGGCUGGCUUUAAAGGAUUCCACUGCUCAAGUGCUGGGACUGCAGCCAUGUGCAUUCCAUCCAACUAAGGAAUUCAGAUAUUCAUUAGAAGAUAAAGGCACAAUAUAUGGUAAGGGUUCUUUAAAUUUUUUGAGGCAAACAGACUUGUUGGCAUGGCGACUUCAGCGAACCAUCUGCGAGGCUAUCUGAAGAGAACCUAAAAUAAGUGGACGAAUUAAAUCCAAUUUAUUUUGGGGAAGGAAACAUUUUCAAUGUUUCAGACUGCUCGUUGGUGUAAGUGGAGUCUAGCCUUUACUUUGGCCACAGUUAAUCAUUGUUAUCUGCUGAAAGGAGUUUUGUCUUGACAGUCAGCUAAAAACAUGGUGUAAGAGUUGCUCAGUCUGAACUAUCAGCAAACCAGGGAUGGGGGCGGGGGCACAGAAUAUGGAUUCAUGGAGCACCUUCAGCAAGGGAGGGCUUGAAUAUGCGCAGUACCUUCAAUGUUAGUACAAUUCUAGACUUAACAUGGCAUUUACUCCAGUAGAGUCAUCAAUGAUUCCUUUUUUUUUUUUUUCUUCACUUUUAGAAAUGUCCUGGUUUGGAUGACAAGCUAAAUGACCCUUGUUCUCCUCUCCAUAGUCCCUGAGCCUACAGGAAGAUAAACAGGGCCUUCUGUGACCAGGCUCAGGACCUUCUCUUUAGCCUCCCUGCAGAGUUACAACACCCACAGCUCCAGGGCAAAGGCAGUAAGGAGAGGGCAGAAGACAGGACGAAGUAAAGGUCUCUUACCCAAAGUGCUUGUAGAUAUGUACCAUAUUCUAUCUUUGAACUGUCAAAA